AACCAAAGAAGGAGGAGGAGCCGUUCACGUCGGUUGCUGCGACCUCACCAUCGGGAUCCCUACCGUUGUGCACCACCGUUGUUUGUGGAGUAGUCGCCAUCAAGGCCAAGCCCAGAGGAGGGAGAAAGAGGCUAUCGUGAAUCAGAACUGAGGAAAGGGAAAGAACCAUCGCGAAAGAGGAGGGGGAGGACGCUAUCUAACUGUGCGCCGUCGCUGCAGGAGCCGACCUCACCGUCGCCGCUGCAACCUCCUCCCCCGGCUGUGGUGGUUUUGGUUUUGUUCUUGCCAUGGUUGUCAAGGAAUACCGCUGUUGUCGUUGAGGUUUUUCCGUUAUCAUCAGAACCGCUACGGAUGUUACUGUCACUCUGUUGCCCACGAUUUCCCUUUAUUACAGUAAGCAUCUCUAUUCCGAAACCCUCACAUCUAGUGUGUAUGUACAUGUGUUAUGUUAUGAAUUUGGUGAAAUUCUGAGAUGUAGGUUACGUAAGGUCGAGUUCCGGGUCUUGCAUGUAGAGUUGUAUGGUUGUCGCAUGCAACACCUAGCUUCUGCGUCGCCAUCGGAGCUCUCUGCCACUGUGCAGAUCAUUGGGAGUUGUCACUGGAGCUGCUAUGGUUCCAUUCUCUUGUCCCUUUGUUACUGUUGUUGGUUGGUGCCUUUGUAGUUGUUGCCGCUGAGAAAUCUAGUUGGAGUUGACGCUGUUGUUUUCGGGCUGAGGGAAAGGAGUUUAAUUGACGCGUUGGGUUCGGGUUUCGACUAUUCGAGGUAGGGGUUUUCGUAAAAUUCAUUUUAUCUUACAGAGUUGUUAUAAAUAGAUAUUAAU